GCCGGGGUAGCCUAGGGGUCAGGCGGGGGACUGCAGAUCCCCUUACCUGGGUUCGAAUCCCAGCCCCGGCUCCA
rnacentral:tRNA from 2 species